rnacentral:misc_RNA from 1 species
CAGCCGCGUAAUUCCAGCUCCAAUAGCGUAUAUUAAAGUUGUUGCAGUUAAAAAGCUCGUAGUUGAAUUUCGGGAUCAAUAUUUCGGUCAUGCCGUUGGUAUGCACUGUUAUCAUUGAUUUCUCACCUUCUAAAGAACCGUAAUGCCAUUAAUUUGGUGUUACGGGGAAUUAGGACUGUUACCUUGAAAAAAUUAGAGUGUUUAAAGCAGGCUCACGCUUGAAUACAUUAGCAUGGAAUAAUGAAAUAGGACAUCCGAUUCUAUUUUGUUGGUUUCUAGGAUCGAUGUAAUGAUUAAUAGGGAUAGUUGGGGGCAUUAGUAUUCAAUUGUCAGAGGUGAAAUUCUUGGAUUUAUUGAAGACUAACUACUGCGAAAGCAUUUGCCAAGGAUGUUUUCAUUAAUCAAGAACGAAAGUUAGGGGAUCGAAGACGAUCAGAUACCGUCGUAGUCUUAACCAUAAACUAUGCCGACUAGGGAUCGGAUGAUGUUAAUUUUUUAAUGACUCAUUCGGCGCCUUACG